rnacentral:tRNA from 1 species
CGUUUUAGAAACAUCAGUGGCCAACAGAUCGCCAGAUCGUUGAGCUGCAUUGGCGGGAUUUCGCCGUCUUCGUUUCUCUUUCUUCGCGGACGAACACGCGCUGGGGCUGCAAGAUUGCAGGAUCCCUGGUCCUUAACAGGAUAAGCGUUAGGGGCUUGUAGCUCAGUUGGUUAGAGCGCGCGCUUGAUAAGCGUGAGGUCGGAAGUUCAAGUCUUCCCAGGCCCACCAGCCUUCGCGCUUCGCUGCUUCGGCUCGGCAAGCCCUUCGGAACGAAGGCUGCCACGCCGUAGCCUUGGCGAAGGCGGGCUAUCAAAUGAGCAUUCGUCUUCUGGUUACGGGGCCAUAGCUCAGCUGGGAGAGCGCGUGCUUUGCAAGCAUGAGGUCGUCGGUUCGAUCCCGUCUGGCUCCACCAGCCUUCGCUGGCUGUGCCAGCUACGGCUAGGUAAACCGGCCGGUGCGAAGGCUGCCACGUCGAAGCUCGUAAGAGCGAAGACGGGCUGGCGCCAGCAACGACCAAAUCAUCGUCCGCGAAACAUCACUUCGCAUCCUGCUAGUCUGGAUAGACAGCAAGAUGCGUGUUUUCUGACAUCGUAAAGAGGAGAUCGAUCCGAGUUGGGUCGUGCAGCAGAUUGUUGCGCGAAUCCUUCAUUAUCUCCGGAUCAUUUUCGGCGCUCAUUGCUGACCGCAAGGUUUGCAGCGAGUUGUAAAAUGAUCCUUUUAGCGAAGCUUGACCGCCUCGCUAUCGGAACGAUCUUACGAAGCAAGCUGGUCUUUCUAGUCAAUGUCCGGCUGUGAGAUAGCGUUCAUCGAGGGCGCGUGCCGCAAGGCAGUUCUUACAGACAACAUUCUGCCGAGUGUGUGGACAUUGAUAAUGAGAGCAAUCAAGUGCCUUAAGGGUGUUCGGUG